AUAUCAUGGUGGGUACAUUGCCUCAAAAUCUCUAUAAAUGUUUCUCACGCGUCAAAUAAGGAUUCAUCAUCUCCUUGUCUAAACGAAGUAAUAUCGUUCCUCAUCUU